GAGGGAGGGAGGAUCAUCAUGAUCAAAUCAGUAUCGACUGCCACUUCUGUAUACCACAUGCUAUCUAUUGAUCUGCCCCCAUGGGUCAUCGAAAGCAUAGACAAGAUUUGUUGUGAUUUCUUAUGGCGGGGCAUGGAGGAAGCUAGAGGAGGGCAUUGUAAGGUGGCAUGGGACAUGGUUCGUAGACCAACAGAGCUUGGUGGACUAGGGAUUCACAACUUGUGACUGCUCAAUGCCGCUCUAGAAGUGUGAUGGCUUUGGAUGGCUAGGGUGGAAAAUCUUCAUCCAUGGCAUGGAGUGCCUGGCUCGAUCUCUCCACUGGCGGACAACCUAUUCCACACCUCCGCUCUGUGCAUGAACGGAGAUGGCUGGACGACCUCUUUUUGGACUGACCGUUGGUUGGAGGGUUGCGCACCAAAGGACCUUGUGCCAGACCGCUUCGCCUCUACUCCAGCGAGCAAACCGGGUUUCUCUAUUCGUGAUGCACUCAACAAGAAUGUAUGGACAAGGCACUUUAGAGGAGUUUUAUCUACCAAUUUUUCACCUUAUUGUGGGUGCGCAUGGAGCGGAUCCGAGUAA
rnacentral:rRNA from 1 species